AGCCCGGUGGUGUAGUGGUCUAGCAUAGCAUGGGCAUUUCGGGCCAGAAACACGAAAGCGUCCCCUAGUCGGCUCUGGAUCCCCUCGAACGGAGGAGUUGGAGCAACCUGCUGACGGGAGUUCGAAUCUCCCCCGGGCUACCA
rnacentral:tRNA from 1 species